rnacentral:rRNA from 1 species
UCCGUAGGUGACAAUCGUUAUCCGGAAUUACUGGGCGUAAAGCGCACGCAGGUGGCUACUUAAGUCUGACGUGAAAGCUCCUGGCUUAACUGGGAGAGGUCGUUGGAAACUGAGUGGCUUGAGGCGAUGAGAGGGGUAUGGAAUUCCCGGUGUAGUGGUGGAAUGCGUAGAGAUCGGGAGGAACACCAGCGGUGAAAGCGAUACCCUAGCGUUAGCCUGACGCUCAUGUGCGAAAGCGUGGGGAGCGAACGGG